rnacentral:tRNA from 1 species
GUUUUAAUAAUUUAAAAAAAAAUAAUAGUUUUGUAAACUAUAAAUAAGUUAUUAUACUUUUAAAACU